AUUGAACGCUGGCGGCAGGCCUAACACAUGCAAGUCGAACGAGUGGCGGACGGGUGAGUAAUGUCUGGGAAACUGCCUGAUGGAGGGGGAUAACUACUGGAAACGGUAGCUAAUACCGCAUACCAUCGGAUGUGCCCAGAUGGGAUUAGCUAGUAGGUGGGGUAAAGGCUCACCUCGGCGACGAUCCCUAGCUGGUCUGAGAGGAUGACAGGCCACACUGGAACUGAGACACGGUCCAGCAGCCUACGGGAGGCAGCAGUGGGGAAUAUGGCACAAUGGGCGAAAGCCGGAUGCAGCCAUGCCGCGUGUAUGAAGAAGGCCUGAGGGUUGUAAAGUACUUUCAGCGGGGAGGCGUUACCCGCAGAAGAAGCACCGGCUAACUCCGUGCCAGCAGCCGCGGUAAUAC
rnacentral:rRNA from 1 species